AUUGCUUCUCAGCCUUUUGGCUAAGAUCAAUGUGAAAUACGCUUCAUUCUGUUCUUCAUUAAAAUCUUAUAAUAUCCUAUUUCUCACUUAGCUGGUAAGAGAUAAUGACUAAAGCAGUUUACAAUAAACACUGCUUUUUAGCAACACUCA
rnacentral:snRNA from 1 species